GACGUAGGGGGCGAGCGUUGUCCGGAAUUACUGGGCGUAAAGGGCGUGUAGGCGGCCUGUUAGGUCAUGGGUGAAAAGUUAGGGCUCAACCCUAACCGUGCCUGUGAAACCGGCGGGCUUGAGUGCAGGAGAGGGGAGUGGAAUUCCCAGUGUAGCGGUGAAAUGCGUAGAUAUUGGGAGGAACACCAGUGGCGAAGGCGGCUCUCUGGCCUGUAACUGACGCUGAGGCGCGAAAGCGUGGGGAGCAAACAGGAUUAGAUACCCCCGUAGUCC
rnacentral:rRNA from 1 species